UACGAAGGGGGCUAGCGUUGCUCGGAAUCACUGGGCGUAAAGGGUGCGUAGGCGGGUUUUAAGUCAGAGGUGAAAUCCUGGAGCUCAACUCCAGAACUGCCUUUGAUACUGAAGAUCUUGAGUCCGGGAGAGGUGAGUGGAACUGCGAGUGUAGAGGUGAAAUUCGUAGAUAUUCGCAAGAACACCAGUGGCGAAGGCGGCUCACUGGCCCGGUACUGACGCUGAGGCACGAAAGCGUGGGGAGCAAACAGG
rnacentral:rRNA from 1 species